AAAAAGGUUGGUCCUUAAUUGAAGUGGAACCCCUCAAAAAUGUUUAGAUAACCGCACAGUUAAUCAGUGAGGAGUGAACUGAGUGAAUUCAGUGAAAGUUAUUGCAUCUGAGAUCAUUCUCAAACUUCAGGCUUGGCUUGAUUGCUAUUCUGAGUUCUGAGCCACUACGAAACUCAGAUGCUAGGCAUUUCAUAUGGAGAACUCCUCCUCCUUAUU
rnacentral:misc_RNA from 1 species